rnacentral:snoRNA from 1 species
AGGACUAUACUUUUAGGGAUUAUUUAUAGAUUUUGUUGCUAGAGAAGUUUAUCUGAACAUGUGGAGCACCAGAACCCCCCAGGAGGAGCUGGAGUACCCUCUCCAGAGCGGAAAGCUGGUUCUAGGUGUUACUUCUGCAACUUCCUUGACUAUUGAUGCUUGUUCUUCUCUUCUCUUGGAAGGGGGAGAGGGAGAGAAUGUAGGCUGAGUGG